rnacentral:rRNA from 1 species
CAACUUUCAACAACGGAUCUCUUGGCUCUCGCAUCGAUGAAGAACGCAGCGAAAUGCGAUAAGUAAUGUGAAUUGCAGAAUUCAGUGAAUCAUCAAAUCUUUGAACGCACCUUGCGCUCCUUGGCAUUUUGAGGAGCAUGCCUGUUUGAGUGUCAUUA